rnacentral:misc_RNA from 1 species
AAUUUUACUUGGAUCUCCAACAAGAUAAGAUUUGAACCUUUAAAAAUAAAUUUCAAAAUAGUCAAGAGACCUUCCAAACCUCUCCACCCAUCCAUGAAGAAGAAGAUAUGCAAGAAUAUGUUGUUAAGGGAAGUUCAUUCAAAAUUCCAAAUUAGCACUAAUUAAUGCCAAAUACAGUCAUAUCAAUGAAGCUAUUAUUCAAUACACACACACAUGGAGAAAGGAGAAACCUAUGUUAUGCUUCAAAAUCUGUGUAAGAUGCAAUAACAGGUUAUGCUGUUAUGGUAAUGAUAGUGAUUUGGUAGCUAUAAUAUUAUAAUAUACAGAUAAACAGAUAGAAGGAUGGAUAAAUGGAGAAAGACAUUGGAAAAGGAAAACUAAGAAUGGAAAGUUCCCAACACAAAGCAGCUCUCAGAAUUUACACUCAAUUCAAUGCUGUAAACAUAAACUUACCAUGGUAAAUUCAACAAAAGCUA